UACGUAGGGGGCAAGCGUUGUCCGGAAUCAUUGGGCGUAAAGAGCGUGUAGGCGGCCAGAUAAGUCCGCUGUGAAAACUCGAGGCUCAACUUCGAGCUGUCGGCGGAAACUAUCUGGCUAGAGUCCGGAAGAGGAGAGUGGAAUUCCUGGUGUAGCGGUGAAAUGCGCAGAUAUCGGGAGGAACACCAGUGGCGAAGGCGGCGAUCUGGGAAGAUACUGACGCUGAGGUGCGAAAGCGUGGGGAGCAAACAGG
rnacentral:rRNA from 1 species